UUCAUCUAUAUCAUUUAUGAAUUCAAUGAACACACAUUAUUUAAACGUUCUAUGUGCAACUAUUUGUCGGGGCGCCCCUGUUUGUAACCCCCGCGCGCGCGCCGAAUGUAAACAGUAACGAACGGCAUUGUAGAAAAGAGAGAGAGCCGUAAUGCAGAGGAGAAGUUGUGUAUUCUUUCGGCGUACACAUGCAUUUUCAAUUUGCUGUGAAACAUAUGAACAUGCACAGGGAACAAUACUACAUAUUUGUUUAAGGAGGAUAUUUUUCUCGUGUGAAUCGUUUACGAGGAAAUUCUGACAGCCACACUUCUGUCGACGAUCAGCCGUUGAUAAGCUACGAGUAAUAAAGGAGUAAAGAUGGACAUUAAAGUGUGUGAUUUAUGUGGAUGUUACUGAAGAAGCUCAAAACAGACUCUUGUUACCACAUGGCUUUUACCGGUACCUGUUGAUUCUUGUGGGUCAGCUCCUGAGAUUAACCUGUCACCUCUAUCCACAUGCAUAUUCCUUGUGUUCUACAGACUAUUUACCGGUAAUUCAAAUUAAAUCCGAUAAUGCAUGAACAAUAAUGGAACUUGAAGAAAGCAUCAUGCCAUGUUGUGGUUUGUGUUUGAUAAGAAAUUAUGAAAACAAAAUUAAGGCUGUUUAUAAAGAAAUUCAUAAUUGCUGUGAAAAUUUGUUUUUCAAUAAAAGUAUGCAAUUAU